rnacentral:rRNA from 1 species
AUUGAACGCUGGCGGCAUGCCUUACACAUGCAAGUCGAACGGUAACAGGUCUUCGGAUGCUGACGAGUGGCGAACGGGUGAGUAAUACAUCGGAACGUGCCUAGUAGUGGGGGAUAACUACUCGAAAGAGUGGCUAAUGCCGCAUGAGAUCUACGGAUGAAAGCAGGGGAUCGCAAGACCUUGUGCUACUAGAGCAGCCGAUGGCAGAUUAGGUAGUUGGUGGGAUAAAAGCUUACCAAGCCGACGAUCUGUAGCUGAUCUGAGAGGACGAUCAGCCACACUGGGACUGAGAAACGGCCCAGACUCCUACGGGAGGCAGCAGUGGGGAAUUUUGGACAAUGGGCGCAAGCCUGAUCCAGCAAUGCCGCGUGCAGGAUGAAGGCCUUCGGGUUGUAAACUGCUUUUGUACGGAACGAAAAGCCCCGGGUUAAUACCCUGGGGUCAUGACGGUACCGUAAGAAUAAGCACCGGCUAACUACGUGCCAGCCGCCGCCGUAA